UAUCUGUGGUUGACUAUGAACUAGGUGU
rnacentral:sRNA from 1 species